rnacentral:ncRNA from 1 species
AAGAGCCGGAUGACGGGAGACUGUCAAGUCCGGUUCUGUGAGAGGCUUAGGGUGAAACUCCCUUUGCCUACUCGAC